rnacentral:rRNA from 1 species
UUUUAUGAGAGUUUGAUCCUGGCUCAGGACGAACGCUGGCGGCGUGCCUAAUACAUGCAAGUCGAACGCAUUUCCUUCCACCGUAGCUUGCUACACCGGAAGAAAAUGAGUGGCGAACGGGUGAGUAACACGUGGGUAACCUGCCCAUCAGCGGGGGAUAACACUUGGAAACAGGUGCUAAUACCGCAUAAUU